ensembl:antisense BC048644 cDNA sequence BC048644
AAGUCUGUUAGAGCACGUGGAGCGUUAAGAUCCUGAAACUGAGGACUACUGAUGUGUUUAACGCGGCGUGACUACUGAUGGGUUUAUCGCGGCGUGUUUCACAAGAUCCGAAUGUUGUACGCGGGUGGAGAGUCGACUCACACCUCCUCACAAGUCCUGUGCAGGAUGUCAGGGCCGAUUGACUUCAUCCUGAGAUUAAGACCUCAUCUUGGUCCGAUCAAGCCGGAAGGACGAGCGAAGUUUGCGGUCCCUGAGGGGCUGGAGCGGGCGGUAGUUGUUCACCAUCACAUCCUCUUCCUCACCUCGCCCGGAGAACAAGAGUGUGCGGAACGUGGAUAGCUGGAACGGAGAACAGCCGCGGUGAGCUGACACAGGCACAGAGAGAUCCACGUGCCGGGUGACCCCUCCCACACUGACCAACAGAACUCAGUAUAAUGAACCCGUGACUCCGCGAAGUCCAAGGGAUCACUAAAGGCACAGUGGCCACCACUCCAUUGGGUUUGGAGAGCCCAUAGACACGAGGGGAACCCAGUGGUUCCAAUGAACCAAGAGGGAACUGAGGCCCAGCCAACAGCCAGCACCUACUUGCCAGCCACUGAGUGAGCCACUAGGUAGGGAAGGAAUCCCCUGGGUAUGUGCCAUGAUAUACAUCUUUCUGUUAAUGUAUACAUUUACACCCCACCCCCAAUGAACUGUGAUGAGAUGGACAGGAACUCAUCGGGGCCAAUUAACCACUUUCUUUUUUCCUGAGAAAGAAAACGACCCUUCCCUGAGGGGAACAGAAAGGUCCCAUCGAGACUUGUUCUUAUACAGAUGGGCCUUCUCAGGCACAGCCUGGCUGAGCUGUUGAACUCAGGACAAUGUUCACACCUGGACCUUAGGGAAUAUGACGUAUGCUGGCUUCACACAUGAUGUAUGCCGCUUCAUACGUGACGUAUGGUACCUCAAAAUAUUAUCAUGGGGCCUUGCACUCGGUGACUCUCAUGCAAACAGAAAACCCUUCUAGCAGUUCGGGAACACCUCAAAUACUCCAGCGGGGCCAGGGAGGCAUGGCACAGUCGGUAUCCUGCUUGAGUUUGAGCCUAGCAUGCAUGGUGGUGCGCUCUUGCAAUCCCAGCCUAGCAUGCAUGGUUGUGCGCUCUUGCAAUCCCAGCCUAGCAUGCAUGGUGGUGCGCUCUUGCAAUCCUAGCCUAGCAUGCAUGAUGGUGCGCUCUUGCAAUCCCAGCCUAGCAUGCAUGGUUGUGCGCUCUUGCAAUCCCAGCCUAGCAUGCAUGGUGGUGCGCUCUUGCAAUCCCAGCCUAGCAUGCAUGGUGGUGCACUCUUGCAAUCCCAGCACUGGGGAGGCGGAGCCAGGGGAACCUGGUGCUUAGUAGUCAGCAAGCCUAGCCUCGUGGGUGAGUUUCAGGUCAAUGAGACACCCUGUCACAAAGCACAAGACGAGUGGUACCCAGAGAGUGACAGCCAGGACUUGACUUGAGACCUCCACAACACAAACAUGGGUGGACCAGAAAAUGGAGUCCAGCAAUGCCCUACCAUGACACCUCAAUGAAGAGGCAGGUAAAAAUGACCUCUCUUGGGGCUGUGACACAGCUGGAGUGCUCACCUGGCUCGGGGACACCUCAACAGGCGUCUUCUGCACAAUCCAGGUGACUGACUCAGCAAGUGGCGGGGUGGUGAGGGAGCCAGGGUAGGUCCAGUAAUCCCGGCAGGCAGGCAGCAGACAAGAGGGGUCAAAGGGUCCCAUGGCCACCUGUGUAUCCUGACAACGAGAACCACAGCCCCAACAAUCAGGGGGUCUGUCAUAUAUGGGGGCCUUUCCGUCUUACCACAGCUUUGAUGGCCAAACGAGUGUUCUGGACACAGGUCAUUGUCAUAUGUGGAAACAUAAAGAAAAGGUGACUCUUCUUUACAAAAAAGGGACUCUUACCAAAUGGUUGUAUUUCCCCUGAAAGUUAUGCCUUCCUAUAUACCUUGGCUGAGAAGAUGUGUUGGUACAUAUAUAUGGGGGUACCAUUUUUGACAUUUUAAAAAUAUUUAUUGAAUG